rnacentral:rRNA from 2 species
GGAAGUAAAAGUCGUAACAAGGUCUCCGUUGGUGAACCAGCGGAGGGAUCAUUACUGAGUUUACGCUCUAUAACCCUUUGUGAACAUACCUAUAACUGUUGCUUCGGCGGGUAGGGUCUCCGUGACCCUCCCGGCCUCCCGCCCCCGGGCGGGUCGGCGCCCGCCGGAGGAUAACCAAACUCUGAUUUAACGACGUUUCUUCUGAGUGGUACAAGCAAAUAAUCAAAACUUUUAACAACGGAUCUCUUGGUUCUGGCAUCGAUGAAGAACGCAGCGAAAUGCGAUAAGUAAUGUGAAUUGCAGAAUUCAGUGAAUCAUCGAAUCUUUGAACGCACAUUGCGCCCGCCAGCAUUCUGGCGGGCAUGCCUGUUCGAGCGUCAUUUCAACCCUCAAGCUCUGCUUGGUGUUGGGGCCCUACAGCUGAUGUAGGCCCUCAAAGGUAGUGGCGGACCCUCCCGGAGCCUCCUUUGCGUAGUAACUUUACGUCUCGCACUGGGAUCCGGAGGGACUCUUGCCGUAAAACCCCCCAAUUUUCCAAAGGUUGACCUCGGAUCAGGUAGGAAUACCCGCUGAACUUAAGCAUAUCAAUA